rnacentral:lncRNA from 1 species
UCAUACGGGAGCUGGACUUCUUCUCCGAACUUCGGCUGUAGGUAGCCUUCGUCCGGGCUCCUACGGGAGCCAGACUUCCGCCCUGAACUCGUGUUGCAGGUAGACCUCAUCCGAACUCCUACAAGGGCCAAACUCCGAGCUUCUACUGCAAGCGAUCUACUCUGAGCUUCUACUGCAAGCGAUCUACUCUGAGCUUCUACUGCAGGCUUCGACCAAGCUUCCUUGACAAAUGAUCCCCAUCCGAGCUUCUACGGAGAUCGGACUCUGACCGAACUUAUGUAGCAGAC